UUGGAGGGCAAGUCUGGUGCCAGCAGCCGCGGUAAUUCCAGCUCCAAUAGCGUAUAUUAAAGUUGUUGCAGUCAAAAAGCUCGUAGUUGAAUUUCGGGGUCAGUAGGUUGGUCAUGCCACAGGUAUGUGCUGGUCUCACUGAUUCCUCCUUCCUGAUGAACUGUAAUGCCAUUAAUUUGGUGUUGCAGGGAAUCUGGACUGUUACUUUGAAAAAAUUAGAGUGUUUAAAGCAGGCUAACGCCUGAAUACAUUAGCGUGGAAUAGUGAAAUAGGACGUUCGAUCCUAUUUUGUUGGUUUCUAGGAUUGACGUAAUGAUUAAUAGGGAUAGUUGGGGGCAUUAGUAUUCAAUUGUCAGAGGUGAAAUUCUUGGAUUUAUUGAAGACUAACUACUGCGAAAGCAUUUGCCAAGGAUGUUUUCAUUAAUCAAGAACGAAAGUUAGGGGAUCGAAGACGAUCAGAUACCGUCGUAGUCUUAACCAUAAACUAUGCCGACUAGGGAUCGGAUGAUGUUAAUUUUUUAAUGACUCAUUCGGCGCCUUACGGGAAACCAAAGUGUUUGGGUUC
rnacentral:rRNA from 1 species